UAACGGUCCACCCGUUAUAAUAUCAUUUUUAGCGCUUUAAUUAUUUUUAAAAUUAUUUUCUUUUGACCUCCCAUUUAAAUUCUUUAAUUUCUCGUAAAGGACUUCUCAUGUGACGUCACACUGUACGGAACAUAGUUGAACCGUUCCUUGUCAUUUAAUUCGUGUUCCGUGAGAGUUUGACGUCUUCCUCGCUGAAUGAGAGAGGAAUGCUCUUUACUUGACUGUGAGCUGUGGUUCGAAUCGGUUAUACCAAUGGCGGGUUGAUAAUUUCAACUAUUUAAAUCAUUUUUGUUAAUUUCCAAGUGAAAAGUUAUCUGGAGCCUGGAGUAUGGAAACAUAUGAGUAACUCAACACCUCAUGGAAUCUGGAUAAGAAUCAACCCGCCAUUUGGGAGAAACCAUAAGAUGAAGUCCUAGCCCCUUCUUUGACCACCUAGGGAAACCACCCCAGCCACAGUCAAGUCAACAUUGGGAGUAAGUCAUUUUUGGGAACAAGCUUUUUGGGAGUAUUCCAGCUCCUUUUCGUCCUGCCACCUGGGCCUACGGAGGGCAUGGGACCGCAUCAUCUUGAUGCUCAUUUCUGAGGAUGCAGCAGCAACCUCUUUAGGAGUCGUUUGGGAACAUUUAGUGUUGUGUUUUAAGUAACUAUGGUUUUUAUAUAUCAGACAUUUAUUUGAUACAUUAUGUUUAUUAAUUAUUUUUUUUCAGAUUUAGCGUACCUUUGUUUUUAUAUGACAUAUUUGUAUACUAUUGUAUUUGGUUCCCAAACUUUGUAUCUACGGUAACUUCUUGUGCACAGGAAUAAGCCUAGAGAAAAUUAGGUUUUUAAUACUUUAUUAUUGCUUUGAUAUUGGUUUAUGUAAUUCGGGUAAAUUUAUUUUGUAAUAUUACUUGCUUGUUUCCCAAAUAUUUUAUUGUUAUUCGCUUUAUUCCAUUUUUUUCGGUUAAUUUAGGUCAUCGUCAGUACUUAUCUCAACUUCAUUUCUAUUUCAUUCAUUGUAUACUUAACUUACUUACUUCAUUAUUGUAUUUUCCCUUAGUGAGGCUUGGGCCUAUUUAUUUGUAGUAUUUUCAUCUUUGUCAGUUUCCUUUAGUUGUACGUAGCAGGCGUACUAUAACCAUUUGGUAGAAGACUCAUGUGAGUUGUACCCUAUAUAUAUGUAAGAGGUAUUUAAGUUUGUAACAGAUAACAUUAUUGUUGUUAUCUUUAAAAUAUAUAUAGCUUCUUGUAUAACUUAUGUCAUUUUAGAGUUACAUGAUAUAUGCUUGUCUAACUCAGAGAUUGUUAAAAAUCUAGUAGUUAUUUUAAUAAAUAUUUAUUUAUUUUGUA